AUGUCUGGAAACUUUUGCUUGAAUGAAUCUUGGCGCUGUAACCACAUCAUGUGUCCCUGCAAAUCGAAUACCUCGAUCGAUCAGGAACAGAGGGAGAGAGAAGAGAAUAGGUUAGGUUUUUACCUGGAGAGCAGCAGCCCAAGUGAUAAGGAAAGAUGCAAACCAGAAUUUCUUGUCCUUUAUCACUUUUUUCAAUUCCAUUUUUCUCACUUCACUCCGACAACAAGCUCGAACAAUUCAUCGCCGUUCCUGGCUGCAUCAACACCACCUUGCUUCUAA